ACUAUCGUUAACUGAAUACAUAGGUUAACGAGGCGAACCGGGGGAACUGAAACAUCUAAGUACCCCGAGGAAAAGAAAUCAACCGAGAUUCCCCCAGUAGCGGCGAGCGAACGGGGAGCAGCCCAGAGUCUGAAUCAGCUUGUGUGUUAGUGGAACGGUCUGGAAAGUCCGACGGUACAGGGUGAUAGUCCCGUACACCAAAAUGCACAGGUUGUGAACUCGAAGAGUAGGGCGGGACACGUGGUAUCCUGUCUGAAUAUGGGGGGACCAUCCUCCAAGGCUAAAUACUCCUGACUGACCGAUAGUGAACCAGUACCGUGAGGGAAAGGCGAAAAGAACCCCGGCGAGGGGAGUGAAAAAGAACCUGAAACCGUGUACGUACAAGCAGUGGGAGCACCUUCGGGUGUGACUGCGUACCUUUUGUAUAAUGGGUCAGCGACUUAUAUUCUGUAGCAAGGUUAACCGUAUAGGGGAGCCGCAGGGAAACCGAGUCUUAACUGGGCGUUAAGUUGCAGGGUAUAGACCCGAAACCCGGUGAUCUAGCCAUGGGCAGGUUGAAGGUUGGGUAACACUAACUGGAGGACCGAACCGACUAAUGUUGAAAAAUUAGCGGAUGACUUGUGGCUGGGGGUGAAAGGCCAAUCAAACCGGGAGAUAGCUGGUUCUCCCCGAAAGCUAUUUAGGUAGCGCCUCGUGAACUCAUCUUCGGGGGUAGAGCACUGUUUCGGCUAGGGGGUCAUCCCGACUUACCAACCCGAUGCAAACUACGAAUACCGAAGAAUGUUAUCACGGGAGACACACGGCGGGUGCUAACGUCCGUCGUGAAGAGGGAAACAACCCAGACCGCCAGCUAAGGUCCCAAAGUCAUGGUUAAGUGGGAAACGAUGUGGGAAGGCACAGACAGCCAGGAUGUUGGCUUAGAAGCAGCCAUCAUUUAAAGAAAGCGUAAUAGCUCACUGGUCGAGUCGGCCUGCGCGGAAGAUGUAACGGGGCUAAACCAUGCACCGAAGCUGCGGCAGCGACACUAUGUGUUGUUGGGUAGGGGAGCGUUCUGUAAGCCUGCGAAGGUGACCUGUGAGGGUUGCUGGAGGUAUCAGAAGUGCGAAUGCUGACAUAAGUAACGAUAAAGCGGGUGAAAAGCCCGCUCGCCGGAAGACCAAGGGUUCCUGUCCAACGUUAAUCGGGGCAGGGUGAGUCGACCCCUAAGGCGAGGCCGAAAGGCGUAGUCGAUGGGAAACAGGUUAAUAUUCCUGUACUUGGUGUUACUGCGAAGGGGGGACGGAGAAGGCUAUGUUAGCCGGGCGACGGUUGUCCCGGUUUAAGCAUGUAGGCUGGUUGUCCAGGCAAAUCCGGAUAAUCAAGGCUGAGGUGUGAUGACGAGGCACUACGGUGCUGAAGUAACAAAUGCCCUGCUUCCAGGAAAAGCCUCUAAGCAUCAGGUAACAUCAAAUCGUACCCCAAACCGACACAGGUGGUCAGGUAGAGAAUACCAAGGCGCUUGAGAGAACUCGGGUGAAGGAACUAGGCAAAAUGGUGCCGUAACUUCGGGAGAAGGCACGCUGGUGUGUAGGUGAAGUCCCUGCGGAUGGAGCUGAGACCAGUCGAAGAUACCAGCUGGCUGCAACUGUUUAUUAAAAACACAGCACUGUGCAAACACGAAAGUGGACGUAUACGGUGUGACGCCUGCCCGGUGCCGGAAGGUUAAUUGAUGGGGUUAUCCGUAAGGAGAAGCUCUUGAUCGAAGCCCCGGUAAACGGCGGCCGUAACUAUAACGGUCCUAAGGUAGCGAAAUUCCUUGUCGGGUAAGUUCCGACCUGCACGAAUGGCGUAAUGAUGGCCAGGCUGUCUCCACCCGAGACUCAGUGAAAUUGAACUCGCUGUGAAGAUGCAGUGUACCCGCGGCAAGACGGAAAGACCCCGUGAACCUUUACUAUAGCUUGACACUGAACAUUGAGCCUUGAUGUGUAGGAUAGGUGGGAGGCUUUGAAGCGUGGACGCCAGUCUGCGUGGAGCCAACCUUGAAAUACCACCCUUUAAUGUUUGAUGUUCUAACGUUGGCCCCUUACCGGGGUUGCGGACAGUGUCUGGUGGGUAGUUUGACUGGGGCGGUCUCCUCCCAAAGCGUAACGGAGGAGCACGAAGGUUAGCUAAUCCUGGUCGGACAUCAGGAGGUUAGUGCAAUGGCAUAAGCUAGCUUGACUGCGAGCGUGACGGCGCGAGCAGGUGCGAAAGCAGGUCAUAGUGAUCCGGUGGUUCUGAAUGGAAGGGCCAUCGCUCAACGGAUAAAAGGUACUCCGGGGAUAACAGGCUGAUACCGCCCAAGAGUUCAUAUCGACGGCGGUGUUUGGCACCUCGAUGUCGGCUCAUCACAUCCUGGGGCUGAAGUAGGUCCCAAGGGUAUGGCUGUUCGCCAUUUAAAGUGGUACGCGAGCUGGGUUUAGAACGUCGUGAGACAGUUCGGUCCCUAUCUGCCGUGGGCGCUGGAGAAUUGAGGGGGGCUGCUCCUAGUACGAGAGGACCGGAGUGGACGCAUCACUGGUGUUCGGGUUGUCAUGCCAAUGGCACUGCCCGGUAGCUAAAUGCGGAAGAGAUAAGUGCUGAAAGCAUCUAAGCACGAAACUUGCCCCGAGAUGAGUUCUCCCUGAGACUUUAAGUCUCCUGAAGGAACGUUNGACGUUGAUAGGCCGGGUGUGUAAGCGCAGCGAUGCGUUGAGCUAACCGGUACUAAUGAACCGUGAGGCUUAACC
rnacentral:rRNA from 1 species